rnacentral:rRNA from 1 species
UAAAGCGUGCGCAGGCGGUUUUGUAAGACUGCGUGAAAUCCCCGGGCUCAACCUGGGAAUGGCGAUGGUGACUGCAAGGCUAGAGUUUGGCAGAGGGGGGUAGAAUUCCACGUGUAGCAGUGAAAUGCGUAGAUAUGUGGAGGAACACCGAUGGCGAAGGCAGCCCCCUGGGUCAAAACUGACGCUCAUGCACGAAAGCGUGGGGAGCAAACAGGAUUAGAUACCCUUGU